rnacentral:rRNA from 1 species
GACGAACGCUGGCGGCGUGCUUAACACAUGCAAGUCGAACGGAAAGGCCCUGCUUUUGUGGGGUGCUCGAGUGGCGAACGGGUGAGUAACACGUGAGUAACCUGCCCUUGACUUUGGGAUAACUUCAGGAAACUGGGGCUAAUACCUGAUAGGAGCUCCUGCUGCAUGGUGGGGGUUGGAAAGUUUCGGCGGUUGGGGAUGGACUCGCGGCUUAUCAGCUUGUUGGUGGGGUAGUGGCUUACCAAGGCUUUGACGGGUAGCCGGCAUGAGAGGGUGACCGGCCACAUUGGGACUGAGAUACGGACCAGACUCCUACGGGAGGCAGCAGUGGGGAAUAGUGCACAAUGGGCGGAAGCCUGAUGCAGCAACGCCGCGUGCGGGAUGACGGCCUUCGGGUUGUAAACCGCUUUCGCCUGUGACGAAGCGUGAGUGACGGUAAUGGGUAAAGAAGCACCGGCUAACUACGUG